rnacentral:lncRNA from 1 species
AUCCACCUUACCCCCCCUUUCUUCUCAUUUGACAAACCCUAGAUCCCCUCUCAUCCAUCGAUUCCCAUCCCUUAAACAACCACCUGCACAUUCAAGCCUAGAGGACGAGAUUUUUAGCCUUAAGGUCUCCCCCUGACUUCGAUUUCAACAAAGUAGAAGGUGACCCAUGGCGCAUUUACAAGGUAAGCCCCUUUUCAUCUUUUCUUUUUCUUAUUUUUCUUUCGCAUAUAAGAAUCACAAAUCCAGAAAAAUGAAACUAAAGGAAGUAAAGCAUUUAGAGAUUUUUGAAUCGGAAAACACCUUGUGUAUUUUAUUAUUCGCAGUGUGCGCGUAAAAAAAAUACAGGUGAUUCUCUUUAGGCUUUAUAGCCGAGAGAAGAAAUAAAAAAAUACAAUUUUCUGCUAUUUUCUCGCGUUUGUUGUCUUCUUGCGUUUGGUGUGCAGGUACGGUGAGCGUGUGCUGGCACUUGGUGUGAGGCGUACGGAGGCGCACGUGGCGGCACGGAGGGUACAGAGCCAGGCUUCGGGCGCACGGAGGCCGUACAUGGGGGUGUUGGCUGCGGCGCACCUAAGAAACCUAGGGUUUCUAAAACUAUUUUGAUUUUGGGCCACUUGGGCCUUGAAUUUUUGGACUGUAAUUGGACUUUUAUUCUUAGGUUUAUUUAUUCUUUGAUGUGGACCCGGGCAAAUUGGCCUGCUUAUAACUCGAAUUUGAGAUUUUAAAUUUUUUAAAAUCUCAAUCUUGUCAUUGAAUAAAGUC